rnacentral:rRNA from 1 species
CUUUAUGGACGUAAGUGCCGAACCCCUCUGAAUUGGUCAGAAACUGGGGAACGAGCACUCAUUGGUCCGGACAUUAUUCAACAAGCUGAAGAGCAGGUUCGCAUUGUCCGGGAUAAUCUCAAGGCGGCCCAAUCCCGCCAGAAGAGCAACUAUGACCGGAAACACUGGGGUUCAACUUAUCAACCUGGUGAACAAGCUUAUCUGCGUGUCACUCCUUUGAGAGGCACUCAUCGGUUCGGAGUCAAGGGAAAGUUAGCUCCUCGCUACAUUGGUCCCUUCCGUAUUCUCGCCCGUCGUGGACUGGUGGCUUAUCAACUGGAGUUGCCACCUCAGUUCUCUCACAUUCAUGACGUCUUCCAUGUGUCGCAACUUCGUCGAUGCUUCAAGGAUCCGGAACGUGAAGUGGAUCCGGAAUUGAUUGAAAUUCAAGAUGAUCUCACAUACAAGGAGCAUCCAAUCUGCAUUCUUGAAGAAGCUGAACGUCGAACCCGCCAGAAGGUUACUAAGUUCCUCAAGGUGCAAUGGUCGAAUCAUACUAAAGAGGAAGCCACUUGGGAACGCGAAGAUAACCUCCGGGCUGAAUACCCCGAUCUUUUCCCUUCUACCUCUUAA